GACGAACGCUGGCGGCGUGCUUAACACAUGCAAGUCGAACGGAAAGGCCCUGCUUGCAGGGUACUCGAAUGGCGAACGGGUGAGUAACACGUGGGUGAUCUGCCCUGCACUUCGGGAUAAGCCUGGGAAACUGGGUCUAAUACCGGAUAGGAGCCAUUUUUGGUGUGAUGGUUGGAAAGUUUUUUCGGUGUGGGAUGAGCUGGCGGCCUAUCAGCUUGUUUGUGGGGUAAUGGCCUACCAAGUCGGCGACGGGUAGCCGGCCUGAGAGGGUGGACGGCCACAUUGGGACUGAGAUGCGGCCCAGACUCCUACGGGAGGCAGCAGUGGGGAAUAUUGCACAAUGGGCGCAAGCCUGAUGCAGCGACGCCGCGUGGGGGAUGACGGCCUUCGGGUUGUAAACUCCUUUCGCGAGGGACGAAGCUUUUUGUGACGGUACCUAGAUAAGAAGCACCGGCUAACUACGUG
rnacentral:rRNA from 1 species